CUCCAUACAGAGGACUAGAGAGGCCAGCACUGGCUACAUCCUGCUCCUGGAAGCAGAAGCUGUAUGUGAACCUGGGAGGGCCAGAGAAAAGUGGGGGCACAGGCAGGACAGAGGUGAAGGGGGGCACAGGUGUGGGGCUGGGACAAGACAAUAGGCGGAAAGAUAUGGAGGAACGGAGGAAAUUGGUGAUGGGACCAGAUUGGUGAGAGAUGAUGUUAAGGAACAUGGCCUUGGAGUUUUCAGGGCUGGGGCUAAGGCAGAGAAAGCUGGAGAAGGGCAGGCGAUGACGAGGUGCUGCUCUGGCCAGAGUGAGGGUCUGAACAGGGAUACAUGGAGAGUUUCCAUGGAAGCAGAGCCUACCUGUCGGAUAGCUUGGAUCUCCAAGUCUAGUGAUGGGGGCAGGGCCAUGAUCCAGCCUACUCUUCCUGCCUCAGCCCCUUCCAGCAGCCUGGCCACACACAGGGGAGGCCUAGCUUUUGGAACAGACUUCACCCUGUGGCCCAGCCCUCUCCUGCCCCUGUCUGCCCAACCAUCCACUCGCUCCCCCCCUCUCCAUGAUCCAUGGCUCAUUCAUCCCCAUUCCCUCCUGAACACCACUCACUCCUCUGGGCCUUCCUGGCUCUGACUCAGCUGCUCCUCCAGGUUUGAGAUCUCUUGCCUUAGUUCCUGUAAGAAGCAGAGCAUGGGCCCCCGUGGAGCCCACACACUCCUCUUGCCGACACAUACUGCCAGUUACCAGGGUGAAGCAGCAGUGGCCAAAGGUCCGGGACUAAGAGAGUUCAGAAGCCCAGAGCACCAGACAGCCCGAGCAUCACAAAGGCAGAAGGGACUCUAAGGUGGGUAGAUUCACAGAAAAACACACAAAGGAGUUACCCAGACAGACGGAUGGACUCGGCCCAGGGGAGACAGUUGCCCCCAGAGAGGCCUCCCACAUCUCCCCUCGGCCUCCCACUGCGCACCCUCCUCCCUGCACCGUCCCUGUCCAGUCUUCCCUCAGCUGCCAGUGACACCCGUGGGUGUCAGCUGCUCUGAGGGGGACUCCAGCUGACUGCCUAGGAUGUGGCAUGUGGAUUCUGACGCAAGAGCCUGUUCUCAGCAACUCCAGCGCUGACUCGGGUACAGGGAGGGUGUUGGCCUGUGGCAGACAUAUGCCCCCAGAUGUGGACCCCUGUAGUGACUUCACAGUCACCUGCAAGCAGCUCUACAGGAGGAACUGAACAGAGGCUACGAGACUUGGCAAGGCUGCCCCAUCUGUGUGAUGCCCAGUCCCACCUCUAACACUCAGCCUCUGGGGGGGCGCAGAUAAAACUCUGGGUGA